rnacentral:ncRNA from 1 species
GAAUUUUAAUGGCAAACCCAUUGAAAAGUGGGGGCGCAAAGCCGUAGGGUCUAAGGUGUUCACACCACUAUGAUAGCCUGGUUGCAGCA